rnacentral:rRNA from 1 species
AAUUUAAAUAGAUUUAUGUAGAAAUUAUUUAUAUUAAUGAUGAUAAAUUAUUUUUUUAUUAGUAAUAAAUUAAAAAUUGUUAAAAUUGUGUGUAGUUAAGUACAGUGAUGGAAUAUAUGAAAUAUUUUAAAUGUAAUUUAAUUAAUAGAAGUAGUUAAGUUAUGUACCUUUUGUAUCAGGGUUUUAUUAUAUUAAGUAAAUAUUUAUUUAUCUCGAAAUGUUUCUGACUUAUUAUAAUAUAUAUAUAUUAAUGUUACAUAAUUAUAUAAAAUUUUAUAAUGGUAAUGAAAAAUUAUUCGUAGAAUAAGAUAUCUAGUUGUUUAAGAUUAGAAUUUAAUUUAUUUGUGUUGUGAAAAUAUAAUAAUAGGAUAAGUUUGUUCUUUUGAAAAAGUUUUAUAGCAUCAGCAAAUGGUUGAGGGAUAAACUUCAAUUAAGUUUUAAAGAUUAAUUAUGAAAAAAAAAUAAAAUUAGGAUUAGAAGCUUUACAAAGGUUGAAAUAGCGUUUUAGCAUAUAUUAUUAUAUAAAGAUUUAAAAUAUUUUAAUACAGAUAUUAAACUAUUAAUAUAAAAUUUUGUAUAUUAAUUAAUAAUAUAAAAAUUAGUAUAUUAUAAAUUUGUCAAAAACAUUUUAAAAAUAUAAGUGUUUAGAAGGAACUAAGCAAAUGUGUUUUUCACCUGUUUAUCAAAAACAUGGUUUUAUGAAUUGAUUAAAAUGUAAAAUCAGGCCUGCCCACUGAUGUAAUAUUAAAUGGCCGCGGUAUUAUGACCGUGCAAAGGUAGCAUAAUAAUUUGUCUUUUAAUUGAGGACUGGAAUGAAUGGUUUUAUGAAAAAAUUUCUGUCUCCUAGAUAAUAUUGUAAAAUUUUACUUUUUAGUGAAAAGGCUUAAGAAAUAAAAUGAUUCUGAAGGACAAUAAGACCCUAUAGAUCUUAAUAUAAGAAUUAUAAAUUUUUAAUUUGGUUGUGUUACUUAAAUUAUUUAAUUAAUAUAUUUAGUUGGGGCGACUAAAAGAGAAGAUAAUCUCUUUUUAUUUUAAUUAUAUUUAUUUAUAUAAAUAUAAAGUUGAUCCAAGAUUUUUGAUUAUAAGAGCAAGUUACCUUAGGGAUAACAGCGUAAUCUUUUUUGAGAGUUCUAAUCGACAAAAAGGGUUGCGACCUCGAUGUUGGAUUAAGAUGUCCUUAGAAGCUAAAUUUAUGGUGUAGCAGCUUAUAGAGGAAGGUCUGUUCGACCUUUAAAAUCUUACAUGAUCUGAGUUCAGACCGGCGUGAGCCAGGUUGGUUUAUAUCCUCAGAUAUUAAAUAUAUUUUUAGUACGAAAGGACCAAAAUAUAGAAAAAAUUUGUAUAUAAUGAAUAUUAUUAAACU